UUCCAGGAGCCGGAUUUGAACCAGCGACCUAAAGACCACCGUUGAAUGAUCUACAGUCCUCCGCUCUGCCAACUGAGCUAUCGAGGGA
rnacentral:tRNA from 1 species